UGGGGAAUAUUGCACAAUGGAGGAAACUCUGAUGCAGCGACGCCGCGUGAGUGAAGAAGUAAUUCGUUAUGUAAAGCUCUAUCAGCAGGGAAGAUAGUGACGGUACCUGACUAAGAAGCUCCGGCUAAAUACGUGCCAGCAGCCGCGGUAAUACGUAUGGAGCAAGCGUUAUCCGGAUUUACUGGGUGUAAAGGGAGUGUAGGUGGCAUCACAAGUCAGAAGUGAAAGCCCGGGGCUCAACCCCGGGACUGCUUUUGAAACUGUGGAGCUGGAGUGCAGGAGAGGCAAGUGGAAUUCCUAGUGUAGCGGUGAAAUGCGUAGAUAUUAGGAGGAACACCAGUGGCGAAGGCGGCUUGCUGGACUGUAACUGACACUGAGGCUCGAAAGCGUGGGGAGCAAACA
rnacentral:rRNA from 1 species